UUAUGUUAUUAAUGUCAGUGAGGCUGAUGUUCAUGUCUGCAGUAACAGUCCAGAGGAAUCCAGGAGAAGAAGGUGCUCAGGGCCUGAGGCGGACAAUCAUAGACGAUGCGGCUAACAGUCCAGAGGAAUCCAAGAGAAGAAGGAGCUCAGGGCCUGAGGCGGACAAUCAUAGACGAUGCAGCUAGAGUCAGGCAGGUCUGCAGCAGCCAUCAGUCCGGAGCAACCAAGGGGCAGGGGGUGUCUGCAGCAACGGUCCAGAGGAGCCUAAGAGAUGGAGGAGCUCAGGGCCCAGGGUGGACAAUCAGGGAUGAUGCAGCUGGGGUCAGGCAGUUCCGCAGCAGACCAUCUGCAGCAUUAGUCCAGUGGAAGUUAAGAGACUCAGAGACACUCAGAGAGACAGAAAUCUGGUUAGUGACUUAAAUGGGACAUAAAGAUCUAAAGAAGAGAUAGAGA